rnacentral:lncRNA from 1 species
UCGUUUGAUUUAUCUAGUUUCUCCAUUUAAGAUUUUUUUUUCUUUCUCAAAAUACAAAUAAUGGUCGUUUACUAGGAAAAUUCCAAUGAUGAUUAUUGAUAUUAUGCAAACAGAUUUCGGUGACGAGCUGAUGAUACUUUUUCUUCCUCCUUGUCUGUCUUUGGAUUCUGUCGCCGGCUCCCAAUCUCCGCCAACGUUCACAUUCCACCCAUUCGGAGCUUAGCUCCCCAAGAACCAUCUUCGAUUCAGGAGUCGAGGCGGGUUUCCCUCCUAGCUCGAAAACAUGAACGGCCGCAAGCGGUGGUUCCUUCCUCUUUCUCAUCCCUUCGCUUUUCCCAGGUGACACCAACUUUCCAAUCGGGCCUUAACUACUCAGUCGGCCCAAUGACAGGUAUGGAACUAAGCCUUUUGAGCACCGGGUUGAGCCUUAGUAAUAUACUACUUCUCAAGUACUAAUUACUUAUUAUAGUUUAUAGGCUGCCUAGUAUAUAUUAGUAGUAAAGAAAUGCAUUUAUAAUUUAGAUAUUGAUUUAGAAUUUAGAAUUUGUUUACGGAGAGGUUUGUGAUGACGUUGUUGGUCAUUUUCUUUUGUCGUUCAUCUUUAUGCUUUUUGAUAAGCUUUCCUUCUAUGCAAAAUAUGAUCAUGGAUUUUUGAAGCAAAAAUUAAUUAGAGUUAUUGAAGCAAAAGACAACAAAUUUUUUGCUUCCUUCUUGGUGAUGAUGUCAGGAAAAAAGGAUAAUGGGGUAUACAGAGAAAUAGACGCGUUGCGGUUAGGUGAAGAAGAACAUGUCGUGACGUUCUGAGCUGGGUAUCCAGGAACACAGCAAUAAAUAUGGCGUCGACAAACCUAACUUCCAGGUCUUGUCAAGAGGAGUGAUUCAUCGGGAAGAACUCACUCGAGGUAUUAGCCUCUUCGGGUGUUUGAUGUUUUGGGUGUCCUUAGCUCGGGCUCUACCGAUCUUUUAUUGCUUUCUUAAUAUCGAAUGUGUCCUUCUGUUUGAACAAUUAUUUCUUGCGAUGCAAGAUUUCGUUAUUGGAUAGAGUUAGCGUCUGGGUUAUCAGUCUCUGUUCAAAAAUUUUUAUUUUGAGCCGAGGAUGAUUGAAAAUGCGAAUGCGAUAACUCCUGCUACACAUUUGUGAGUCCGUGCUUCACUUGAUAAAUAGUGACGAUAAUCAUCCAUUGGGAUAGAUUGAUAAAUUUAGUAUUUUUUGCCAUAUAUAUAUAUAAGUAAAGGUAGG